rnacentral:lncRNA from 1 species
ACAGGUGGACCUGUGCCACAGAGGAAUUAAGUAACCUUCCCAUGGUCACAUAGCUGUAUGUAAGGGAACCCCUGUAGAAGGAGACAAAACAAGAAGAAAGAGAACAAAGCCUGCAGGACCAGAGGCAUACAGGUGGACAUUUUACUCACACCCACAGCAGCAAGAAUGACCUCCUGCAGCAGAUAUUCCACCUGUAAUAGCGCUUUGGAAUUCUGGGCAAAACCAAAAGGCUAGUGUUUCCAAAUAUUCCAUGUUGGUGUAUGGGGUUGAACUGGAAAAUUCCCUGAGGCAUGAUUCAUUGGCCAAAUUUUGAUAGGGUAUAGAAGAUGACUUUAGAGAUGAGUGGUUUUGUGUA